CCUCAGCCUCCCAAAGCGCUAGGAUUACAGGCGUGAGUCACUGCGCCUGGCCCAAGUCUGGAAUUUUCAACAGGACAUGGGUGUCACUGUGCCCACGUGACAUUUGGGGAACCCAAGGCCCUGAGAAAGGCAGAAAAAUAACCCACGCAGGGGCUCUCAGCCCACAAAUGAAGCUGAGAACCGGGAAUGGAAAACAGGGAGGCAGUACAGAGGCAGGAAACUCAGGUGUCACAGCUUGGCUCAGCUUGGAAUGCACUCCCUCCACCUCCACCCAGAGCUCCCCACAACUGACCCUGCUUUCUUCUGCAAGCUCCAUUUCAUCAAGGGAAACGAUCCUUAUUGCCUCACCAUUUCCCACAUGAAGUCUGUAUUGACAUUCUCAUAGACCUGGGAUAUUGUGUCUGCAGCACAUAGUCCAAUUAUUUUCAUGUUAUCUACUGACAGCUCUAUUUGUCUCCCUGUUACACUGUGAGCUCCGUGAGGGCAGAAACAAUGUUUGUAUUUUCACUGCUGUGUCCCCAGUGCCUGGUCCGGGGCCCGGCACACAGCAGGCAUAUAAUAAGCAUGUGUUGAAUCAAUAAAGGCAUCAAAGAAUAAACCAAUACAUCAAUCAA
rnacentral:lncRNA from 1 species